CAUUGCACUCCGGAUGUGCUGACCCCUGCGAUUUCCCCAAAUGUGGGAAACUCGACUGCAUAAUUUGUGGUAGUGGGGGACUGCGUUCGCGCUUUCCCCUG
rnacentral:snRNA from 1 species